CCUACGGGUGGCAGCAGUGGGGAAUAUUGCACAAUGGGCGAAAGCCUGAUGCAGCGACGCCGCGUGAGCGAUGAAGGCCUUCGGGUCGUAAAGCUCUGUCCUAGGGGACGAUAAUGACGGUACCCUAGGAGGAAGCCCCGGCUAACUACGUGCCAGCAGCCGCGGUAAUACGUAGGGGGCGAGCGUUGUCCGGAAUCACUGGGCGUAAAGGGUACGUAGGCGGCCAGGUAAGUCAGAUGUGAAAGGCAUGGGCUCAACCCAUGCAAGCAUUUGAAACUGCUUGGCUUGAGUCGAGGAGAGGAAAGCGGAAUUCCUGGUGUAGCGGUGAAAUGCGUAGAUAUCAGGAGGAAUACCAGUUGCGAAGGCGGCUUUCUGGCCUUUGACUGACGCUGAGGUACGAAAGCGUGGGGAGCAAACAGGAUUAGAUACCCUUGUAGUC
rnacentral:rRNA from 1 species